UCGGCCUUAUCCUUCCUGAUUCUGCUGUUGGGUUUUGCAUUAGCUUCCGGACCUUGAGAGAAGCUAAAGCAGUGAAACUACAGAGACUGAGGCUAGAGGUACCUGAGGACCUCUGUGUGAGGGAUAGGCUCUAAGCCUGCAGAAGUCUUUCGGCCUCUAGCCCGCUUCCUGUUCUUUUUUUCCUGUCCCCCACUCUCCUACCCAUUCCGUACUCUCUGUAGUCAGUAUCUCUCUGGCCUUAAUGAAAGGAAAUAAGCAAGAUGAGGUAUACAAACGGGUGCUGGGUAACCAGAUACGUGAACCUGAAAGGGUUGAAAACAGUGGUACCACAAAGCCUUCUGUAUCACACGUGGUUUUGUCUGUCAUUACUUCGCUUCUGUCAGGCAAUAACAGGAAGAGCUUCUUUAGGGCUUUCUAAAACUCAUCUUCUUUUUAGUUGGCUAAAGGACUUUGAAUCAGAAAGUGUUUUUGGAUAGAGGGAGGAGCCUGUGAGCCAUUGAGGCAACCCCACAGAGCCAGGAGGUGGGGAUAAGUUCUUGGCUUUAACAUCAUCUACACGGCCUUAGCUUGAAGAUGAGAAAACAGGUCAGAAAGAUAAACUGAUGGGCCCAAGCUAGAAGUGCAAGUAUCCUGAUGUUCAGAAAUUGUAGCUUUGCUUUUGGUACCAAGUAUGAGCCGGCUCUGCUGUCUAAAAGGAACACACGGCCCACAGACGUUAAGACCGAAGAUGCCAGCCCCCAGGGUGACACUCUACCCUUAUCUCUGAAGCCUGGGGAGCAGAGGUUGAGUUAGCCAGGUUCCUCAGCUACCACAUCUGGAAGGGACACAUUCCCAUCAGGUGUUCAAAGAAGAACAACAGCAAAGGAGACCUGCAUGCCCCUGGGCUCCCUUUGCUUGUCUUAGGCAUGAGUCAGACCCAAAAGCCGGCUUUUGUCCCCUCAGUUAAGAGCUAAGACCCGUGACCCUCCAGACCAGCAUCUCUAAAAAUAGCCAGAGCCUGGGCAUGUGACCUGCAGGUGGGAGAGGGUCCAGUGAGAGAAUGCCAAUUCUUCUCAAU